rnacentral:rRNA from 1 species
AUUGAACGCUGGCGGAAUGCUUUACACAUGCAAGUCGAACGGCAGCACGGACUUCGGUCUGGUGGCGAGUGGCGAACGGGUGAGUAAUGUAUCGGAACGUGCCCAGUCGUGGGGGAUAACGUAGUGAAAAUUACGCUAAUACCGCAUACGAUCUAUGGAUGAAAGCGGGGGAUCGCAAGACCUCGCGCGAUUGGAGCGGCCGAUAUCAGAUUAGGUAGUUGGUGGGGUAAAGGCCCACCAAGCCAACGAUCUGUAGCUGGUCUGAGAGGACGACCCGCCACAGUGGAAAGGAGACACGGUCCAGACUCCUGCGGGAGGAAGCAGUGGGGAAUUUUGGAGAAUGGGCGAAAGCCUGAUCCAGCCAUUCCGCGUGAAGGAUGAAGGCCCUCGGGUUAUAAACUGCUUUUGUACAAAACGAAAAGGUUUCUACUAAUACUAGGAGCUCAUGCCGGUAAUGAAAGAAUAAGCCCCGGCUAACUACGUGCCAGCCGCCGCGGAAA